GCUGGAAAAAGCUCGGGUUCGACAAGCCACCUCGAGCUCGUUGUGGCUCCGCUCAAGACAGCUCGUGAACUCCUGGAGAGCCGAGCCAAGCCGGUUUUCUGAGCUCGGUAAAGGGGCGGGUCAAGCCAAUCCAACUCGUAUGAGCUCGCAAGCUGGCUCACAAGCUAGCCCUUGCACAACGCUACAGGCUACAACCCACAACGUCCCAUAAUCCCAAGGCCUAAUCUUGCAAUAGACCAACAUGUUACAUGUACAUAGGUUACAAAGGUUACAAGUAAGGAACACAACAUAACCACCCCACCCCUAAUCCUAUAUGUUGCGUCUGUGUGGUGGCUGGUUACUCGAGAGACGACCGAGAGCUCGAGACUAGAACACUGGACGACGUCGCGUCGAUGCCGC
rnacentral:lncRNA from 1 species